GUUGUAUGGUUAAGUGACUAAGCGUACAUGGUGGAUGCCUUGGCAGUCAGAGGCGAUGAAGGACGUACUAACCUGCGAUAAGCUGUGAGAAGUCGGUAAGAGACGCUAUUACUCACAGAUUUCCGAAUGGGGAAACCCACCCGAGAUAACUUGGGUAUCGUUACAUGAAUACAUAGUGUACCGAGGCGAACCGGGAGAACUGAAACAUCUAAGUACCCCGAGGAAAAGAAAUCAACCGAGAUUCCCUCAGUAGCGGCGAGCGAACGGGGAUUAGCCCUUAAGCAUCUUGGAAGUUAGUGGAACGGUCCUGGAAAGGCCGGCGAUACAGGGUGAUAGCCCCGUACACGAAAACAACCUUGAUGUGAAAUCGAGUAGGGCGGGACACGUGACAUCCUGUCUGAAUAUGGGGGGACCAUCCUCCAAGGCUAAAUACUCCUGACUGACCGAUAGUGAACCAGUACCGUGAGGGAAAGGCGAAAAGAACCCCUGUGAGGGGAGUGAAAUAGAACCUGAAACCGUGUACGUACAAGCAGUGGGAGCCCUUCGGGGUGACUGCGUACCUUUUGUAUAAUGGGUCAGCGACUUACAUUUUGUAGCGAGGUUAACCGUAUAGGGGAGCCGUAGGGAAACCGAGUCUUAACUGGGCGUCUAGUUGCAAGGUGUAGACCCGAAACCGGGUGAUCUAGCCAUGGGCAGGUUGAAGGUUGAGUAACAUCAACUGGAGGACCGAACCCACUAACGUUGCAAAGUUAGGGGAUGACCUGUGGCUGGGGGUGAAAGGCCAAUCAAACUCGGAGAUAGCUGGUUCUCCCCGAAAGCUAUUUAGGUAGCGCCUCGGACGAAUACUACUGGGGGUAGAGCACUGUUUGGGCUAGGGGGUCAUCCCGACUUACCAACCCCAUGCAAACUCCGAAUACCAGUAAGUACUAUCCGGGAGACACACGGCGGGUGCUAACGUCCGUCGUGAAGAGGGAAACAACCCAGACCGCCGGCUAAGGUCCCAAAGUUCUGGUUAAGUGGGAAACGAUGUGGGAAGGCUCAGACAGCUAGGAUGUUGGCUUAGAAGCAGCCAUCAUUUAAAGAAAGCGUAAUAGCUCACUAGUCGAGUCGGCCUGCGCGGAAGAUGUAACGGGGCUCAAACCAGGCACCGAAGCCGCGGAUUCACACUUAUGUGUGAGUGGUAGGGGAGCGUUCUGUAAGUCUGCGAAGGUGUAUCGAGAGGUAUGCUGGAGAUAUCAGAAGUGCGAAUGCUGACGUAAGUAACGAUAAAGGGGGUGAAAAGCCUCCUCGCCGGAAGACCAAGGGUUCCUGUCCAACGUUAAUCGGGGCAGGGUGAGUCGACCCCUAAGGCGAGGCCGAAAGGCGUAGUCGAUGGGAAGCAGGUUAAUAUUCCUGCACGACUUGUAAUUGCGAUGGGGGGACGGAGAAGGCUAGGUGGGCCAGGCGACGGUUGUCCUGGUGAAAGUGCGUAGGUGGUGUUUCUAGGCAAAUCCGGAGACACAACACUGAGACACGAGACGAACACACUACGGUGUGGAAGCCAUUGAUGCCCUGCUUCCAGGAAAAGCCUCUAAGCUUCAGAUUACAAGUCAUCGUACCCCAAACCGACACAGGUGGUCGGGUAGAGAAUACCAAGGCGCUUGAGAGAACUCGGGUGAAGGAACUAGGCAAAAUAGAACCGUAACUUCGGGAGAAGGUUCGCUCUUGACAGUGAAGUCCCUUGCGGAUGGAGCAGUUGGGAGUCGCAGUGACCAGAUGGCUGGGACUGUUUAUCAAAAACACAGCACUCUGCAAACACGAAAGUGGACGUAUAGGGUGUGACACCUGCCCGGUGCCGGAAGGUUAAUUGAUGGGGUUAGCGCAAGCGAAGCUCUUGAUCGAAGCCCCGGUAAACGGCGGCCGUAACUAUAACGGUCCUAAGGUAGCGAAAUUCCUUGUCGGGUAAGUUCCGACCUGCACGAAUGGUGUAACCAUGGCCAUGCUGUCUCCACCCGAGACUCAGUGAAAUCGAAUUCGCCGUGAAGAUGCGGUGUACCCGCGGCUAGACGGAAAGACCCCGUGAACCUUUACUACAGCUUGGCACUGAACAUUGAACCUACAUGUGUAGGAUAGGUGGGAGGCUUUGAAGGCGUGACGCCAGUUGCGCUGGAGCCGUCCUUGAAAUACCACCCUUGUAUGUUUGAUGUUCUAACGCAGGGCCCUGAAUCGGGCUCGCGGACAGUGCCUGGUGGGUAGUUUGACUGGGGCGGUCUCCUCCCAAAGAGUAACGGAGGAGCACGAAGGUUGGCUAAUCCUGGUCGGACAUCAGGAGGUUAGUGCAAUGGCAUAAGCCAGCUUAACUGCGAGACGGACAGGUCGAGCAGGUACGAAAGUAGGUCAUAGUGAUCCGGUGGUUCUGAAUGGAAGGGCCAUCGCUCAACGGAUAAAAGGUACUCCGGGGAUAACAGGCUGAUACCGCCCAAGAGUUCAUAUCGACGGCGGUGUUUGGCACCUCGAUGUCGGCUCAUCACAUCCUGGGGCUGAAGUCGGUCCCAAGGGUAUGGCUGUUCGCCAUUUAAAGUGGUACGCGAGCUGGGUUCAGAACGUCGUGAGACAGUUCGGUCCCUAUCUGCCGUGGGCGUUGGAUGAUUGAAGGGAGUUGCUCCUAGUACGAGAGGACCGGAGUGAACGAACCUCUGGUGUUCGGGUUGUCACGCCAGUGGCACUGCCCGGUAGCUAAGUUCGGAAUCGAUAACCGCUGAAAGCAUCUAAGA
rnacentral:rRNA from 1 species